rnacentral:tRNA from 1 species
GGAAGGGCAUCGCCUCCGGUGGGGCGGCCGGGCUUCAAACCCGGUUGGGGGUGUCAGACACUCCCGGGUGGGUUCGACUCCCAUGCCUUUCCGCCA